rnacentral:rRNA from 1 species
UACGGAGGAUGCGAGCGUUAUCCGGAUUUAUUGGGUUCAAAGGGUGCGUAGGCGGAUUAUUGAGUCAGCGGUGAAAGCGUGUGGCUCAACCAUACCGAGCCUUUGAAACUGGUGGUCUUGAGUGCAAACGAGGUAGGCGGAAUGUGACGUGUAGCGGUGAAAUGCUUGGAUAUGUCCCAGAACUCCGAUUGUGAAGACAGCUUACCAGGAUGUAACUGACGCUGAGGCACGAAAGCGUGGGUAUCAAACA